CCUACGGGUGGCAGCAGUGGGGAAUAUUGCACAAUGGGCGCAAGCCUGAUGCAGCCAUGCCGCGUGUGUGAAGAAGGCCUUCGGGUUGUAAAGCACUUUCAGCGGGGAGGAAGGCGUUAAGGUUAAUAACCUUGUCGAUUGACGUUACCCGCAGAAGAAGCACCGGCUAACUCCGUGCCAGCAGCCGCGGUAAUACGGAGGGUGCAAGCGUUAAUCGGAAUUACUGGGCGUAAAGCGCACGCAGGCGGUCUGUCAAGUCGGAUGUGAAAUCCCCGGGCUCAACCUGGGAACGGCAUUCGAAACUGGCAGGCUAGAGUGUGGUAGAGGGGGGUAGAAUUCCAGGUGUAGCGGUGAAAUGCGUAGAGAUCUGGAGGAAUACCGGUGGCGAAGGCGGCCCCCUGGACAAAGACUGACGCUCAGGUGCGAAAGCGUGGGGAGCAAACAGGAUUAGAUACCCUAGUAGUC
rnacentral:rRNA from 1 species